CGGCGUGCCUAACACAUGCAAGUCGAACGGGGUUAUUUCUUCGGAGAUAACUUAGUGGCGAACGGGUGAGUAACGCGUGAGAAACCUGCCUUUCAGUGGGGGACAACAGUUGGAAACGACUGCUAAUACCGCAUAAUGUUAUUUGGGGGCAUCCUCGAAUAACCAAAGCUUCAUGUGCUGAAAGAUGGUCUCGCGUCUGAUUAGCUAGAUGGCGGGGUAACGGCCCACCAUGGCGACGAUCAGUAGCCGGUCUGAGAGGAUGAACGGCCACAUUGGGACUGAGAUACGGCCCAGACUCCUACGGGAGGCAGCAGUGGGGAAUAUUGGGCAAUGGGCGCAAGCCUGACCCAGCAAUGCCGCGUGAAGGAAGAAGGCUUUCGGGUUGUAAACUUCUUUUAUCAGGGACGAAUAAAAUGACGGUACCUGAAGAAUAAGCCACGGCUAACUACGUGCCAGCAGCCGCGGUAAUACGUAGGUGGCAAGCGUUGUUCCGGAUUACUGGGUGUAAAGGGCGCGUAUGCGGGAAAGCCAAGUCCGGUGUGAAAUCUAUGGGCUUAAUCCCUAAACUGCCCUUUGAAACUGUUUUUCUUGAGUGUCGGAGAGGUAGAUGGAAUUCCUAGUGUAGCGGUGAAAUGCGUAGAUAUUAGGAGGAACACCAGUGGCGAAGGCGAUCUACUGGACGAUAACUGACGCUGAGGCGCGAAAGCGUGGGGAUCAAACAGGAUUAGACACCCUGGUAGUCCACGCAGUAAACGAUGAAUACUACCUGUUUGUACUUGAGGUAUGAGUGGGACAGCGAAAGCGUUAAGUAUUCCACCUGGGGAGUACGCCGGCAACGGUGAAACUCAAAGGAAUUGACGGGGGCCCGCACAAGCGGAGGAACAUGUGGUUUAAUUCGAUGAUACGCGAGGAACCAUACCCGGGCUCAAACGACUGAGGGGUGACCUUGAAAGGGGUCAGCCGGCAACGGCCUUAGUCGAGGUGCUGCAUGGUUGUCGUCAGCUCGUGCCGUGAGGUGUCGGCUUAAGUGCCAUAACGAGCGCAACCCCUAUCGAUAGUUGCUAACGAGUAAAGUUGAGGACUCUAUCGAGACUGCCGGCGCAAGCUGUGAGGAAGGCGGGGAUGACGUCAAAUCAGCACGGCCCUUACGUCCGGGGCGACACACGUGUUACAAUGGCGGGGACAGCGGGAAGCCACCUAGCGAUAGGGCGCGGAACCCGAAACCCCGUCUCAGUUCGGAUUGGAGUCUGCAACUCGACUCCAUGAAGCUGGAUUCGCUAGUAAUCGCGCAUCAGCCAUGGCGCGGUGAAUACGUUCCCGGGCCUU
rnacentral:rRNA from 1 species